rnacentral:rRNA from 1 species
GAUGAACGCUGGCGGCGUGCUUAACACAUGCAAGUCGAACGAUGAAGCCCAGCUUGCUGGGUGGAUUAGUGGCGAACGGGUGAGUAACACGUGAGUAACCUGCCCUUAACUCUGGGAUAAGCCUGGGAAACUGGGUCUAAUACCGGAUAGGAGCGUCCACCGCAUGGUGGGUGUUGGAAAGAUUUAUCGGUUUUGGAUGGACUCGCGGCCUAUCAGCUUGUUGGUGAGGUAAUGGCUCACCAAGGCGACGACGGGUAGCCGGCCUGGGAGGGUGACCGGCCACACUGGGACUGAGACACGGCCCAGACUCCUACGGGAGGCAGCAGUGGGGGAUAUUGCACAAUGGGCGCAAGCCUGAUGCAGCGACGCCGCGUGAGGGAUGACGGCCUUCGGGUUGUAAACCUCUUUCAGUAGGGAAGAAGCGAAAGUGACGGUACCUGCAGAAGAAGCACCGGCUAACUACGUG